CGCCGCGGCCGCUUCCGCUCUGUUGCUGCUGGUGUGAAGAGGAAAGGAGGGAUUUCUUCUUUUUAGUUCUUGGUGGCUUUUAUGUAAUAAAUGGUAGGAUUGGCUAAAUAGGUGGUGAAUGGAAGCAAUUCCUUGGUGGCUUUUAUAUAUGUGUGUGAGAUUCAUUAUAUUCUCAUAAAUUUUGAUCUCUUUAAUUAAGGUCAUGCAUGAUGUUUACUUCUUUCUAAUCUUUUUAUAUAGAUAUAUAGAUUAUUUGAUGAUGAUACUAUAAUUGAUGUUUUUGUCGAUGCGAGAUGUUUCGAAAUAAAAGAGAAGUGUCAAGAGAAGCAGCAGUAGAAUAAGCAGAUUACAAUCUUCUACAAGGGGCAGAUUUGCGUCUGCGACAUCACAGAGAUUCAGGUGUGUUGGUGGAGGUGCAAAAUUGAAACAAUUGAAAUAGAUGAUGAGGACGGCGGUGGCCGCUUUGCCGGCAACAGCGGCAGACAGCAAGGCGGCUUCGGCGGCGUCAACGCCGAUCGCCUCGCCUCACCUCACCUCACCUCGAUCUUACCUCGCCUCAUCUCAUAUACCCAUAAUAAAGAAAAACAAAUAUAAAGCAGCUGCGCGGGGCCGAGCGUCACGGCGCCACCUCCGACGGCAGAGGGGUCCGGCUAGGGUUCCGGGGGUCCCCGGUUGCUCCGGGAGUUGCAGGGGACGACGCCGCGCCGCGGAACCCGAUCUGCUUCAUCGCGCAGCGGCUUCUCGCUCCCGCAGAAGCUUCCCGUCGUAAGCGAGAGAGAGAGAGAGAGAGAGAGAGAGAGAGAGAAGGGUUUUGUUUUGAAAAGGGCGAGAGGGAAUUAAGCGAAGUUCGAUCGAGCCGAGCCGCGUAGGUUUCUCUCUCACAAUCUUAUAAUAUUCGAGUCCGAGUUCGAACGAGUUAACCCGAACCUACUGCAACCGACCGACCACUUCUUUAUCCGGAUCUACAUAUUUUUUUAUUUUUUUUAAAGAUAAAAUUUUAACAAAAUGAUGAACAUAUUAUGUGUUAUGUUAAUUUUUUUUUUAUAUUUUAAGAUGAAAAGAAUGAGUGAUUGCCUAUUGAACAUAUGAUUCAGCAUAUUGUAUAGAAGGAGGAGAGAAUGCUGAUGUACCAAUUGAAAUAUUUCAAAGAUUUUAUUUACCCUCAAAAAAAGAAAAAAAAAAGUGAGGUCCGAAGUAUAA